GACGAACGCUGGCGGCGUGCUUAACACAUGCAAGUCGAACGGAAAGGCCCUGCUUUUGUGGGGUGCUCGAGUGGCGAACGGGUGAGUAACACGUGAGUAACCUGCCCUUGACUUUGGGAUAACUUCAGGAAACUGGGGCUAAUACCGGAUAGGAGCUCCUGCUGCAUGGUGGGGGUUGGAAAGUUUCGGCGGUUGGGGAUGGACUCGCGGCUUAUAAGCUUGUUGGUGGGGUAGUGGCUUACCAAGGCUUUGACGGGUAGCCGGCCUGAGAGGGUGACCGGCCACAUUGGGACUGAGAUACGGCCCAGACUCCUACGGGAGGCAGCAGUGGGGAAUAUUGCACAAUGGGCGGAAGCCUGAUGCAGCAACGCCGCGUGCGGGAUGACGACCUUCGGGUUGUAAACCGCUUUCGCCUGUGACGAAGCGUGAGUGACGGUAAUGGGUAAAGAAGCACCGGCUAACUACGUG
rnacentral:rRNA from 1 species